GAAUAUUGGACAAUGGGCGCAAGCCUGAUCCAGCCAUGCCGCGUGUGUGAAGAAGGCUUUCGGGUUGUAAAGCACUUUCAGUGGGGAAGAAGGCCUGACGGCCAAUACCCGUCAGGAGCGACAUCACCCACAGAAGCAGCACCGGCUAACUCCGUGCCAGCAGCCGCGGUAAUACGGAGGGUGCGAGCGUUAAUCGGAAUUACUGGGCUUAAAGCGCGCGUAGGCGGCCAAAUCAGCCGGUUGUGAAAGCCCCGGGCUCAACCUGGGAACGGCAUCCGGAACUGUUUGGCUAGAGUGCAGGAGAGGAAGGUAGAAUUCCCGGUGUAGCGGUGAAAUGCGUAGAGAUCGGGAGGAAUACCAGUGGCGAAGGCGGCCUUCUGGACUGACACUGACGCUGAGGUGCGAAAGCGUGGGUAGCAAACAGG
rnacentral:rRNA from 1 species